rnacentral:piRNA from 1 species
UAGUCCAUAACCACAAGAGUCCAGAACU